UACGAAGGGGGCUAGCGUUGUUCGGAAUUACUGGGCGUAAAGCGCGAGCAGGCGGUUCUUCAAGUCCGUGGUGAAAGCCCGGAGCUCAACUCCGGAAUUGCCAUUGAAACUGUAGAACUUGAGUACGAGAGAGGUGAGUGGAAUUCCCAGUGUAGAGGUGAAAUUCGUAGAUAUUGGGAAGAACACCGGUGGCGAAGGCGGCUCACUGGCUCGUAACUGACGCUCAGGCGCGAUAGCGUGGGGAUCAAACAGG
rnacentral:rRNA from 1 species